UGCAGUCGAGCGCGGGAAGCAAGCUGAUCCUCUUCGGAGGUGACGCUUGUGGAACGAGCGGCGGACGGGUGAGUAACACGUGGGCAACCUGCCUGUAAGACUGGGAUAACCCCGGGAAACCGGGGCUAAUACCGGAUAAUACUUUUCAUCACCUGAUGGAAAGUUGAAAGGUGGCUUUUAGCUACCACUUACAGAUGGGCCCGCGGCGCAUUAGCUAGUUGGUGAGGUAACGGCUCACCAAGGCAACGAUGCGUAGCCGACCUGAGAGGGUGAUCGGCCACACUGGGACUGAGACACGGCCCAGACUCCUACGGGAGGCAGCAGUAGGGAAUCUUCCGCAAUGGACGAAAGUCUGACGGAGCAACGCCGCGUGAGUGAUGAAGGUUUUCGGAUCGUAAAGCUCUGUUGUUAGGGAAGAACAAGUGCCGUUCGAAUAGGGCGGCACCUUGACGGUACCUAACCAGAAAGCCCCGGCUAACUACGUGCCAGCAGCCGCGGUAAUACGUAGGGGGCAAGCGUUGUCCGGAAUUAUUGGGCGUAAAGCGCGCGCAGGCGGUCCUUUAAGUCUGAUGUGAAAGCCCACGGCUCAACCGUGGAGGGUCAUUGGAAACUGGAGGACUUGAGUACAGAAGAGGAGAGUGGAAUUCCACGUGUAGCGGUGAAAUGCGUAGAGAUGUGGAGGAACACCAGUGGCGAAGCGACUCUCUGGUCUGUAACUGACGCUGAGGCGCGAAAGCGUGGGGAGCGAACAGGAUUAGAUACCCUGGUAGUCCACGCCGUAAACGAUGAGUGCUACGUGUUAGGGGGUUUCCGCUCCUUAGUGCUGAAGUUAACGCAUUAAGCACUCCGCCUG
rnacentral:rRNA from 1 species